rnacentral:rRNA from 1 species
UACGGAGGGUGCAAACGUUGCUCGGAAUCAUUGGGCGUAAAGCGCACGUAGGCGGCCUGUUAAGUCGGGUGGUGAAAGCCCUGGGCUCAACCCAGGAAGUGCACUCGAAACUGGCAGGCUUGAAUAUGGAAGAGGGUCGCGGAAUUCCCGGUGUAGAGGUGAAAUUCGUAGAUAUCGGGAGGAACACCAGUGGCGAAGGCGGCGACCUGGGCCAAUAUUGACGCUGAGGUGCGAAAGCGUGGGGAGCAAACAGG